rnacentral:misc_RNA from 1 species
AAUUCUCAACCCUUUUCGACGUAGCGUCGUGAAGGGCUUGGAUUUUGGAGGUCUUUGCCGGUCCCUGGGAUCGGCUCCUCUCGAACGCAUGUAGUGGAGCUUCGUUCCUGCUGUCAGCCCGCCCUUCGGUGUGAUAAUUCAUCCGCAUCGAUCGAGUGUUUGUGAACCAGGGGAACGCGAGACGUAGAACGU